UAACAAGGAUUCCCCUAGUAACUGCGAGUGAAGCGGGAAAAGCUCAAAUUUAAAAUCUGGCGGUCUUUGGCCGUCCGAGUUGUAGUCUGGAGAAGUGCUUUCCGCGCUGGACCGUGUAUAAGUCUCUUGGAACAGAGCGUCAUAGAGGGUGAGAAUCCCGUCUUUGACACGGACUACCAGUGCUUUGUGAUGCGCUCUCGAAGAGUCGAGUUGUUUGGGAAUGCAGCUCAAAAUGGGUGGUAAAUUCCAUCUAAAGCUAAAUAUUGGCGAGAGACCGAUAGCGAACAAGUACCGUGAGGGAAAGAUGAAAAGCACUUUGGAAAGAGAGUUAAACAGUACGUGAAAUUGCUGAAAGGGAAACGCUUGAAGUCAGUCGCGUCUGCCGGAACUCAGCCUUGCUUUCGCUUGGUGCAUUUUCCGGUAGACGGGCCAGCAUCGAUUUUGACCGUCGGAUAAGGGCCAGGGAAAUGUGGCACCCUCGGGUGUGUUAUAGUCUCUGGUCGCAUACGACGGUUGGGAUCGAGGAACGCAGCGCGCCGCAAGGCAGGGGUUCGCCCACUUUCGCGCUUAGGAUGCUGGCGU
rnacentral:rRNA from 1 species